AUUGAACGCUGGCGGCAGGCUUAACACAUGCAAGUCGAGCGGAGAUGAGGUGCUUGCACCUUAUCUUAGCGGCGGACGGGUGAGUAAUGCUUAGGAAUCUGCCUAUUAGUGGGGGACAACAUUCCGAAAGAAAUGCUAAUACCGCAUACGCCCUACGGGGGAAAGCAGGGGAUCUUCGGACCUUGCGCUAAUAGAUGAGCCUAAGUCGGAUUAGCUAGUUGGUGGGGUAAAGGCUUACCAAGGCGACGAUCUGUAGCGGGUCUGAGAGGAUGAUCCGCCACACUGGGACUGAGACACGGCCCAGACUCCUACGGGAGGCAGCAGUGGGGAAUAUUGGACAAUGGACGGAAGCCUGAUCCAGCCAUGCCGCGUGUGUGAAGAAGGCCUUUUGGUUGUAAAGCACUUUAAGCGAGGAGGAGGCUACCUGGAUUAAUACUCUAGGAUAGUGGACGUUACUCGCAGAAUAAGCACCGGCUAACUCUGUGCCAGCCGCCGCCGUAAAAC
rnacentral:rRNA from 1 species